rnacentral:misc_RNA from 1 species
UUACCCGGGCCUCUCGGCCAAGG